UUGUGGUCAUGAACGACAACCACGACUCAGUUAAUUAGCAAAUGAUUCAUUCCUCGUUGCAUGGUUGUCGACGAAACAGUAUUAUUAAGACAUAUGUAUGUGCGGUACGGAGAUUAUGCUUAAUGUUUCUGGACUUUCUUUAUUUGUUCUGGAUAUUUGUUAACAUGGUUCGUGUAACAUUAUCUGUGAUUCAUGAUAAUCAAGAGCAUCAUUUUAUUAAGAGAGCGAGAGAUUUAUUUUGCAAUACAAGAUUAAUUUUUAAAUACAUGUUUAUUAAAAAAUAUCUUAUCGAAGCAGGUUUACAGAUUAAUCUUGAAGUGUGCAUUACAUUUCAUUUUCUAUAUAUGUCGAUGCGAAAUAUGGAACGUCUGGGAAAUGAUUUGAUACAUAUAUAUAUAUAUAUAUAAGUUAGAAACUUUUCGAGAUAUUCUUCUUUCCUCGUGAACAUAUCGAAUUUGCAUCGAAAUGGAAGAUAGAAACUUUAUAAAAAAUUGGAAGAAAAUUCGAUGAUAAAAUGAACGUCCAUCUUUAUCUUGGUUAUUUCUUUAUUAUUUUUUUCAUCAUAUUUCCAUUAUAUCUAGAAUCAUAUUGAUAAGAACUAUUUUUCACUCAUUUUAAUAUCAAUAUACAACUAAAUUCUUUUUAUCGGAUCACUUUAUAUUUCUUAAAUAACAUAGCAAAAAAAAAAAAAAUAAUAAAAUAUUUAGAUAUAUAAUAAUUUGAUAAAAAAAUCAUGAUUUAUAUUAGUAAUUAAAUACAUUUGAAUUGUAUCGAUAUUUAAUUAUCGAUAUAGGUACAUGUCGAAAAUAAAUCAUUUAUUUAAAUUAAACAUUUUAAAUAACAUAACCAUAAAAUAAUUAUAAAAUAUCAUCACUAAUUAUGAUAUUUAUAUUAAUAUUAUAAAUGUAUAUUGAUACAUAAACAAUAUCUUUUGUAUUGUUAAUUAUCAAACCACUUGUUUUUACAUUGUUUCUUGAUUUCCAGCUAAGCAAACAUUUAUUAAGACAGAUUCUUAGAUAACAAAUUCAGACAGAAAUUAACCAAUCGCAAAUUUUAUGGGAAGUUGGUGAUUGGUUUAUUUCCCUUGCGACCUAUUACGUUACAGCAAAUACAGAUUAUAUAUCGAAUAUUCGAAAUUUCGAUAUUUAUGAAUAAAAUAUCGAUAUUGGAAUUGUAUACAUAAAUAUCGAUAUAAAAUAUCAAUAUUUGAAAAGUGUUGAUAUUCGGAAUAUCGAUAUUGCAUCGCCCUUCACUACACAAUGUACACCAAACGUAGAAGUUUUAUUAGAAACAAAUAUCGUAAAGAAAUAGAAUAUUUUAUAAUAUCAUUUUAUAUUAUUAUAAUAUAAUGUUAAUUUUUAUAAUUUUUUAAUUCUUUCGUUAGGAUCCAUACACUAACCAGAUUAAUUUCGAAACUGACCGAACAAACAGUGUAUCAUUCAAAUGUAGAAACUUGUUCCUAAAGGGAACACCGAAACUUUAGUCUGGUGAAACACAUCGCUCCAGAGACUUGUAUUCUUUGAAAGGGAAUAGCGUAUCGUUGUGUUGCAGCAACGCAGUUCAGUGUACCCUUAAUCUAAUAAAACGGAUCCUAUGUUUUCUCCGGCUGAUUCAUGUUGUGCAUGCGCUGAAUAAAUUCGCAGCCUUCAUGCUGGUGAUACC